rnacentral:rRNA from 1 species
UACGUAGGGUGCAAGCGUUGUCCGGAAUUAUUGGGCGUAAAGAGCUCGUAGGCGGUUUGUUGCGUCGGCUGUGAAAUCCCGAGGCUCAACCUCGGGUCUGCAGUCGAUACGAGCAAACUAGAGUGUUGCAGGGGAGACUGGAAUUCCUGGUGUAGCGGUGGAAUGCGUAGAGAUCCGGAAGAACACCGGUGGCGAAGGCGGCCCGCUGGGCAGGAAGACGGGCGCAAGCCCGUCGGCUGACACUGAGGCGCGGACAGCGUGGGGAGCAAACAGG